GAGGCUGUUCACACUGAUGCCAGAGCCGUGUGGUUGCCAGAAAGUGUCUGCUGAUUAUUUGUGGAAGAAAAGAAAUCUAUUUUGUUUACCUACUGUAUCACAGGGGAGUUGGGGAGAAUGGUAGUAUUUUUUUUUAAUCAGCUGUGAAACAUGUUACAGGUCUGCACAUUUUUGUAUGUACUAGUGUGUGUGUGUGUGUAUGCGCGUGUGUUAAAUUUAGCUUUCCUUUCUUUUUUAAAUGGGUGUACUGACUAGCUUUUACAAACGCAACAGGAAGACCUUGUCAGUGUGAUUCAGGGCCCUCAGCACCCCUGUAUCUGCAGAGUGCCUUCAGAACCCAGCUGUUCAGCCGGUGCCAAGCCAGCCCGGGGACUUCCCUUGGGGGGGCGGGGGAGCUGGGGCUCCCCCCAAACCCUUUUCCUAGGAGCCUGGUGUCCAUUGAAACCCCGUAUCCAUCCCAGCCUUUACAUUGUGAUAUCCGCCGCUGGCGAUUUUUCGUUUUUGCCUUAUUCGGUUCCAAUUUCAGGUAUCUAGCUCCCCGUUCAUGUGGUUUUCCAGAUGUGUUGGGCAUCUGUGCAGCAGCGCCCGCCCCGGAGAACUCUCGCAAAUGCUCAUUCUUUUCAUUACCCUCCUCUAAUGUUCAAGACUUUUCAUACAAAAUGCCAAUUUUUAAAGAAACAACCCCCCCCCCCAGCUCCGGUUUGUGUUUCUCUCUGUUUCUUACGCUGUGGUUUUCAGUGGUCGUGGUGGCUUAGUAUCCUGGCUGUGGUUUUUACAGGGUCGUGUGUAAGAGUUGUUUGCCAGCGUGUGAAGAUGAGCAAAUCCCCCUGACUGGAGGUGGAAGUGGCUCCUUCAUGCAUGUUGGGCUUCUACUUCAUGCAGACGGGACGGUGGCCUUGCCCCCAUGCACAUCUGUCAGGAGAGAGCCACCCUGUCCGUCUUCCUGCCCCUGCUUGCUGGUGUGUCACAUCUGCUCAGGGCUCCACGAGGAAGCUGUGCUGGUUGUGCCGUUUGUAGUGUGUUUGUAUGUGCUGCCCCGUCGAGGCUUUUGCUUGGAAAUAGACCUUAGGUGUGAGAGAGAAAAACAGCUCUCCUGCUCUACUCCUCUGACACGGGGCAGUAGCUGGGCUCUUAGGCCAGUGACUAGGCUGGUAGCUGACCGUGUAAGUUCUCCUUUCGGACAGUAGGAGGCAGUGUGAACCCUUUCCUUUUUUCCUGUUAAGGAGGUGGUUGGAGGUACAAACCCUUCUGCAGAAUAUGCUGGCAGUGUCCGUCUGGGUCCCCGGGAGUCCUCCACGUAAACCCGAGGUUUAGGAAGCAAGGUAGAAGUCUCAAGUUCUCACAAAGGGUUUCAGUCCCGCGAUGAACCCGAAGGCACUUACAGGCCUCAGUGUCCGCUGAUUCUUUAAGGCUGGAUCAACAUGCCUUGCCUUAGCCUCCCGCCUCCCCCCCCCCCAAUGUCACCUCCUACUCCAGGGAGGUGCAGAUGGCUCUGGUACCGCUCUGACCUCACUAAGGGAACCUUGAACACAUCUGGAGGACAGAAUUCCAAAUGCGGGAACAAACCGCCCAGAGCAAGCCUUGGUUAACUCGGUGCUUGCAAUUUGCUUCAGUGGGUCUAAAGUGUUGACGGCUACAGAUGUGUCGAGCACUUUCAGAAGGAUUUUUUUUUAAUGUAUUCGGUGAUUCUCUUAUUGCUUGGAAAACUUUGCCAAAAAAUGCUACAAGUAUAUAAGUAGCUAAAGAAACGUGUGUGCUCUGUCAGGAAAUACUCCAACGUGGAAAAGAAGGAAUGAAGUAGCUUUAGGGGCCCACAGCCAGCUUGCCACACAACUCUUCAUGACUAGGCUGACAGGAAGAUUGUAACACGCAUUCGCUCAGUACUGUGUAAUAAACACUUCUGGUUUCUCAACUUAAGUAAUUUUAUGUGUACCUAGACCAAGAAAAUAGUAAUUCCCCCCCCCCCUUUUCCUCUGUAUUUACCCCAUUAUUUUCUAAGGGAGAUUGGAAUUUGGGGAACUUUUUAUUUUUUAUGAAAAAGGUUGUCAGAAAUAGGUCCCCUUGUGUGGUUAGGAGGGCCUCCUUAGCAUUAUGGCGUGAAGAGAUAAGAACAUUUGUUUCAAGGGGAACCAAAGCUUGGGCAGGCUGGAGAGGCGUCGGGAAGGAGGGAGGGAGGGAGUCCCAAGGGGAAGAGAUGCGUGUAAGGCAAGGCGUCACCUGUCAAAACAAAUUGGGCGGGAAGGGUGCCUUCUGGGAGAUCAAAGGCUGACAAUUAAACUCGACCCCUGCUGUCUUUCCCCAGCCUUUCCUUCUGGUCCCUGACGGCCUUCCUGGUUUCAUGUCAUUCCAAAGGAGUGUCUUGCUCUUUGGUAGCAGCCCGGGGAAAGUCCCGCGCACUUCUGUCUCCGUGUUGCCCCGCGGAGUCACAUCCCGGAGCCGGGUGCCUGGCAGGUGCUGGCGGGGUUCUGAAGGCCCUCCUCCAGUGGCGCGCUGAGGGGGCUGAGGUCUGCCUGUGCCCAGCUCUCCACCGCCCCUAGAAUGCAUCCAGGCUCGGGGAGGAAGAAUCGGGGUUUCCUCUGGAGGUUACCGCGUUCGCGGGAGGAUAGCAGCCACCUCUCCCCACGGUUGCUUCAUUGGGAAACGCUUGGCGACGUACGUUUUGUCCAGGAUGAAGAAGUUGGGUCUAUCAGUAGAUUCGGGGUCUAACAGACUGCGGGGCAGACCGAGCGCCUGUAAGGAAAUGUCCACUGAGUAUCCGUGAAGUCUCUGCCGUCGUCCUGGUCGGAUACAGUCCAGAGGUCCUCAGACCACCGGCCCCAGCCGAGGUCAGUCCUCCGCCUCCCUCCCUCCCUCCCCAGUGGCUUUGGAGUGUGGCGUCUCACGUUCCGCUCUGGCCUGUUUACGGAGGGUGGUUGUGUCUGGUGUCCACACUGCCAGGGAGGGCCACGUGCACAUGUCCAGAGCCCUUCCUUCCACGGCCACAGAGCCCGCAGGCUCUGCUACACCACACACCGAGACCGGCCAGCUAUGCUGUGCAGGUUGCAGGGAGAGUUCUUCAUUAUUUCCAUGCUGUUCGUGGACAACUUGAUUGCCUCUUAGUGUUCAUUUAGAAGACACUUCCCACUGGUUACCAUAGACAUAUAUAUAUAUAUAUAUAUAUACACAUAUAUAUAUAUACUUAUAUAUAUAU